GUCUGUAGCUCAGUUGGUAAAGGCGUCGUCGGCGUCGGCUCGCAAGCAAGAGAUUGCAGGUUCAAUCCCUGCCAGCGGCU
rnacentral:tRNA from 1 species